rnacentral:rRNA from 1 species
UACAGAGGUCCCAAGCGUUGUUCGGAUUCACUGGGCGUAAAGGGUGCGUAGGUGGUCGGGUAAGUCUGAUGUGAAAUCUCUGGGCUCAACCCAGAAAUGGCAUUGGAUACUAUCCGGCUAGAGGAGUGGAGGGGGAACUGGAAUACUUGGUGUAGCAGUGAAAUGCGUAGAUAUCGUGAGGAACACCAGAGGCGAAGGCGGCUACCUGGACAAUUGCUGACACUCAGGCACGAAAGCGUGGGGAGCAAAAGGG